rnacentral:sRNA from 1 species
UACUUGGCGCUGGAAGGCUCUCCUUCCGAC